rnacentral:misc_RNA from 1 species
GAUGAAGAACGUAGCGAAAUGCGAUAAGUAGUGUGAAUUGCAGAAUUCAGUGAAUCAUCGAAUCUUUGAACGCACAUUGCGCCCCUUGGUAUUCCAUGGGGCAUGCCUGUUCGAGCGUCAUUUGUACCUUCAAGCUCUGCUUGGUGUUGGGUGUUUGUCUCGCCUCUGCGUGUAGACUCGCCUCAAAACAAUUGGCAGCCGGCGUAUUGAUUUCGGAGCGCAGUACAUCUCGCGCUUUGCACUCCUAACGACGACGUCCAAAAGUACAUUUUUACCCUCUUGACCUCGGAUCAGGUAGGGAUACCCGCUGAACUUAAGCAUAUCAAUAAGCGGAGGA